rnacentral:rRNA from 1 species
GACGAACGCUGGCGGCGUGCCUAAUACAUGCCAGUAGAACGCUGAAGCGAGGAGCUUGCUCUUCUUGGAUGAGUUGCGAACGGGUGAGUAACGCGUAGGUAACCUGCCUUGUAGCGGGGGAUAACUAUUGGAAACGAUAGCUAAUACCGCAUAACAAUGGAUGACACAUGUCAUUUAUUUGAAAGGGGCAAUUGUUCCACUACAAGAUGGACCUGCGUUGUAUUAGCUAGUAGGUGAGGUAAUGGCUCACCUAGGCGACGAUACAUAGCCGACCUGAGAGGGUGAUCGGCCACACUGGGACUGAGACACGGCCCAGACUCCUACGGGAGGCAGCAGUAGGGAAUCUUCGGCAAUGGGGGCAACCCUGACCGAGCAACGCCGCGUGAGUGAAGAAGGGUUUCGGAUCGUAAAGCUCUGUUGUAAGUCAAGAACGGGUGUGAGAGUGGAAAGUUCACACUGUGACGGUAGCUUACCAGAAAGGGACGGCUAACUACGUG